rnacentral:rRNA from 1 species
GUCUCUUCGGGGUUGAUUAAACCGGCGCACGGGUGAGUAACACGUGAGUGACCUGCCUUUUAGACUGGAACAACUUACCGAAAGGUGAGCUAAUGCCGGAUGAGUUAUAUAAGUGCAUGUUUAUAUAGGAAAAGUUGGGGAGACCUGACGCUGAAAGAUGGACUCGCGUCCCAUUAGCUAGUUGGUAGGGUAAUGGCCUACCAAGGCGACGAUGGGUAGCCGGCCUGAGAGGGUGGCCGGCCACACUGGGACUGAGACACGGCCCAGACUCCUACGGGAGGCAGCAGUGGGGAAUUUUGCGCAAUGCUCGUAAGAGUGACGCAGCGACGCCGCGUGAAUGACGAAGGCCUUCGGGUCGUAAAGUUCUUUCGACAGGGAAGAAAAUGCCUAUAAGUAACUGUGUAUGUAUUGACGGUACCUGUAUAAGCAGCCCCGGCUAACUCCGUGCCAGCAGCCGCGGUAAUACGGAGGGGGCGAGCGUUGUUCGGAGUGACUGGGCGUAAAGAGCACGUAGGCGGUGUUGUAAGUCAUUAGUCAAAGACUAGAGCUCAACUUUAGUAAGGCUAGUGAUACUAUAAUACUAGAGUAUCAGAGAGGAUUGCAGAAUUCCUGGUGUAGCGGUGAAAUGCGUAGAUAUCAGGAGGAAUACCGUUAGCGAAGGCGGCAAUCUGGCUGGAAACUGACGCUGAGGUGCGAAAGCGUGGGUAGCAAACAGGAUUAGAUACCCUGGUAGUCCACGCUGUNAACGAUGGAUGCUAGGUGUUGGGCUUUNAAGUUCAGUGCCGC